CCCGAAGUUGCAUAGGGCAUAGUGGGCCUUUAACAAAUGCCUUUCUUUCAACAAGGAACUCUCUGUAGCCAAUCAGAUGUCUCCCUCGUUUUCAGCCAAUCACAUGACUGCAGUGACUAGGUUCUUACAUUGUCGGUGCCGUUUACUACUUGCGCUGAAGUGGUUGUUGCGUAACUUCAUCGUUUUUCCAGGCCAUAAACCCACGAGACGCAUGAAAAGGGGAGUUUCACCAACUUGCAGGAUUUCCAAAUGUAAUUGGGUGCAUUGAUGGCACACAAGUGCCCAUACUGGCCCCAUCUAUAAAUGAGGCUGAUUAUGUGAACAGGAAAGGCUAUCACAGUAUAAAUGCUCAGAAAACAGUGACGAAGGUUGGAUUUGUCACUCUAAACAAACAAACCAACAUGAAGCAAGGCAAACCACGCGCACACACAAACACACACUCAAUAGAUUGAUUGAAGUCUGUUUUUUGAGGAUCUGAAUCAAUGGAUGAUGGAUGAUUCUGUUGCUCCUUGUAUGCUUUGGUGCACAUGUGUGUCUAUACCUAUCAGAUUGUGAAGUGUUACAGUUUCAGGUUUCUACAUGUGUGUGUGUGUGUGUGUGUGUGUGUGUGUGUGUGUGUGUGUGUUGUGUGUGUGAUUGCUUUUAUGUGCGUCUAAGACACAUUCAAGUCAAUCUUCAGUGGCCAGAGAUGCGUCACUCGAGGCUGAAAACCCCAGAAGGCUGUUUUUAGAAACAACAACAGAAUGACAGGCGUGGGAUGCCUCUCUAUUAUUGUCCUCCAUUAUUCUUUCUCUCGAUCUGUCUUUGCUCCUAUUUCUCUCCAUGGGCUUUAACUCCUGAUCUUGCUCUCAUAUCAUCCCCUAUGAUGUGUGGCCACGGGCCCCCCCUCUCUGCUUCUGUUUCCGUUUUUUUUUAAAUUAUUUUUUAUGUACCUCAUGGACAGUUGCCAUCUCGCUUGUCAGGCUUACAGGCCUCUUGUCUGUUCAUCGCUUUUCCUCUCUCCUCAUUUCUGUUCACCAGUGCCUGAAAUGUCAAACACACGAUGAGCACCUUUUCUUUUGAGCAAUCCUCUUUCCCUCCCUGGUGUUUUACUGAUGAGAUAAAUCACCCCCCCUCCCCCCAAAUUUUAUGUUUGAAUAAUUAAUAUCAAUGCUGUUAUAUGAGGAGAGAUAAUGUGUUUUGAGUAUAAAGGUGUUUUCUAAUGAAUGUGUUCCUCUGUAUUAAGUAUUUCUCAUUAUGAAAGCUGACACUCUUUAAUUUCUGUUUCCUUUUAUCUGUCGAUCCUUUCUUUAACAGCCGUUGGUCAGUCAUUCAUUCUUUCUUCUUCAAGUUGUUCAAGGCGGGGUAUUCUUUGAAGCAAACUGUUUCCCUAAUCAACACCUGAUAAGGCCUUUCAGGCGUUCCCUUUGAAUAACUCAAACCAUACACUUGCUAUUGUAUUUUCAUUUUUUUAAUUUAUUGUAUUUGCCUGUCAUUCUGCUGCUGUGAACACCAAAAUUCUCCCGCCUGGGGAUCAAUAAAGUGUUAUUUUAUCUGA
ensembl:lncRNA